GUGGUUGUAGCUCAGUUGGUUAGAGCAUCGGUUUGUGGUACCGAGGGUCGCGGGU
rnacentral:tRNA from 1 species